rnacentral:lncRNA from 1 species
GCAGAGCGGUUAGCCAGUGCAUUGAUCUCCAAGUUGGACACCCUCCAGGAGAGUGUGACCGAGCUUACCACAAUCCAGACUAGGGCCACCUCGGAGAUCAUAGUUCAGCUAGGGAAUGUUCAAGAGGGGCUCAGCUUGGUCUUGAAGCACACAAGACUAGGUUCAGGAGCCUCAUCCUCCAAGAAAUCCUAAUGUAGCUUUGUUUUUUACUUUAUGAUGUAUUUGUUUUUACACUUGUAUGAUGUAUUUACAGUUGUACUCAAAUUAGCAUCAAUACAAUGAGUAGAGUAGUAGACAUUUUCUUUCAAAACUGUGCAAUUUGAAUUCUAAUACUUUUCUGAGUUCCGCGCCUUUUUGCUAUGAUGACAAAAAGGGGGAGAAAAUAUGAUGAAUCAAAAUGUAAAGGGAAUCACAAAAAAAUCCUUAACUAAGUGGAUUCGAUACCUCGAGGCUCAUUAUCUCUCUGUUGGGGCUCCUCAAGGAGUGAUCUCCAGAAUCUAUUCAAAGGAUAUUCGGAGAUUAGCUGAAUCAUACUCAAGAACAAAUUGUCAUAUUUUCCCUCUGAAAGUAAGAAUUUAAGCUAGAAAGAUUCAAGACAUUAAAAGAAAAUUCAGAAAAUCUAAACAAAAUUGAAUGCAUAUGUUGAGGGGGAGAAUCUGAAAUCUUAAGAAUGCAAAUUCAUUUAAUACAUAUAAGCCAAACAAUUGAUUGCAUGAUAUGAAGGCUUAUAUAAUUCCAAAUGAAAGGGGGAGCUUUAAUUUCAGGAUUUACUUAUUCAUACCUUUCAAUUCUGGAUAGAUUAAAAUAACUAGACAUUUCAAAAUUUUAUUCUGAAUCAUCUUUUUAGAUGGGUAUUUCUCUCAUCAAA